UACGUAGGGGGCAAGCGUUGUCCGGAUUUAUUGGGCGUAAAGAGCGUGUAGGCGGCUUUACAGGUCCGUUGUGAAAACUCGAGGCUCAACCUCGAGACGCCGGUGGAAACCGUAAGGCUAGAGUCCGGAAGAGGAGAGUGGAAUUCCUGGUGUAGCGGUGAAAUGCGCAGAUAUCAGGAGGAACACCGGUGGCGAAGGCGGGGUCUCUGGGCCGAAAAUUGACGCUGAGGAGCGAAAAGCGUGGGGGAGCGAACAGG
rnacentral:rRNA from 1 species